GGCUAGCUCAGUCGUAGAGCACGAGACUCUUAUAAUCUCGCGGUCGUGGGUUCGAGCCCCAUGUUAAAUA
rnacentral:tRNA from 1 species